GAGAAACGUCUCAUCAUAAGUGAAUGACAAACAAAAUCCAUUGGAAAUGGAGAGUUUAUACAAAUCUUUGGAGUCGAUUCCACACACAGAAACCGAUUCAGCUCACAUGAUGAUGAGGAUGAUGUGAAACUAAGCUGUGGCCGUCUGAAAGUGCAGCAAAUAGAAAUUCAGAAAUUCAGUUUCGGAAGAAAGCAGGAUACGAGGGAAACUGUGAAAUUUAUUACCAAAAAAUUUUUUUUACAGUAAAACAAUUUUGGCCUAAAGCACGAAAGCUUUACAGGGAAAAUGAAGAACUAUACUCGUGAUUCAGGCACCAGCCGGGACCAUGGAUCUGUGAGGCAGCAAUGCUGCCUGCUGUGCCACAUCACCCUCUACUUAUUCAUUUUAGAGCAAUUAACAUUUAUGAUUCACCUCCUGCUUCAGUGAGUAAUCUCACUUGGAUGCCCCAGAGACUUACACAUCCCAAGAACUGCUGUCGUGACUAUGAGAUGUUUCACUACAAAUAAAUGUGACUUAUAGCGAGACUCAGAUUCACAGAAUGUUGGUUUUUUUUAACAUCCUGUAUGUAUCAUUAUGGAUCACUGUUGUUUGUCUUCUCUGUAGGACUGUCUGGUGUCAAACAGAGGAUACAUUCCCUUUUAAGUGUUGCUCUUUAUAUUGUUUGAGGGCAUUUUUCCUUGCCACUAUCACUGAAUGUUGAGUACUCUAUUUAUCCAUCUGUCUCUCG
ensembl:lncRNA